AUCUCUACGGGUAAGUGUGUGA
rnacentral:miRNA from 1 species